CCCUAUCAGACGAUCCAAAAGAACCAGAGAAUGCACAAAGACACCAGAAGAAGAUGCACAACAGUUUUUGUUGAAAGACAGGGAAGGGUUGAAAUCAGUGCUGAUCAACAAAGAGAAAGGAAGAGGUGUCAUUGCUACGACCAGCUUCCAUAAGGGUGACUGUCUGCUCCGGUAUGUAGGAGAAUUGAUUGAUAAUGCAACUGCCGUCGCACGAACAGUCAAUAUUCAGCGGAACAUGGCUCUUUCAUGUAUGAUUUUAUUCACGAUGGAAAG